UACGUAGGUGGCAAGCGUUGUCCGGAUUUACUGGGCGUAAAGAGCGCGCAGGCGGUCGUUCAAGUCGCGUGUGAAAGCCCCCGGCUCAACUGGGGAGGGUCACGCGAUACUGAUCGACUCGAAGGCAGGGGAGGGAAGUGGAAUUCCCGGUGUAGUGGUGAAAUGCGUAGAUAUCUGGAGGAACACCGGUGGCGAAGGCGGCAUUCUGGGCCGAUAUUGACGCUGAGGAGCGAAAGCCAGGGGAGCAAACGGG
rnacentral:rRNA from 1 species